rnacentral:lncRNA from 1 species
UAUGAAUUCACCUCCCCAAUCUGACUGAAGAGUUUUUAUUUUCUUGCUGAAUUUGUUUUCAACCAAGUUCUUGAAUUGAGUAAACAAGUUUAAAGCUUCAUAGUCAUCAAUGAAGAUGAUGUAAUAUUUGAAACCUGAGGUAGAUUGUAUAGGUACAAGACCCCAUACAUCUGUGUGAAUUAAAUCAAGAGGAGCAGAUGCAUGUGAAGUAGAAAGUUUGAAAGGUAGGGAGUAUGAUUUACCAAGUUGACAGGCAUCACAUAAAUGACUAAUUUCAUUCACAUCAAGUUUUUCAUUACAUGAUGUGAGCACUUGUGACAUCACAGGACCUAUAGGAUGUCCAAGUCUCAUAUGCCACAAUUUCAUUUUGGACUCGUGUUCUGUGGUAUUUGCAGACACUUUAGACUUAACGGCAAAGGUUGAAAGGUUCAACUUAUUUGAAUUGACUGACUCUUGAUAGUAGGGCCUUUUGACUUGAUCUGAGUAGUGUUCAAAUUGAUAUAAUCCAUCCUUAAGCUUCCCUUCCAACAAUACCUCCUUUGUUUGUUUAUCUUUAACAACACAAAAAUCAGAGUGUAACUCCAUAAAUACACCAUUAUCAGCAGUCAAUUGUGAGACACUUAUCAAAUUUUUCUGGAUUGAUGGUAUCAGUAGAACAUUACUGAGAACCAAUGAUUUGUUAAUACAUGUGCUCAAGUGAUUUGUGCCAAUGUGAGAGAUAUAAAGUUUAUUUCCAUUACCAACAGUAAGACUCCCCUUACCACCAUACUCCUGUGCUUCAAACAAGUUCCCUUUCUCACUAGUUACGUGAUUGCUUGCUCCCGUGUCUGCAAAUCAUGUUGGAUUUGAAACAGUUCUUGAUGAGGCCACAAGUGCAGCUGGUUCUGAGAAGUUGUUUUGAUAGUACUGAUUAGGUUUGGUACCCAUGUAUCUCUCAUCAUAACGGUUGAAGCACUUCUCAGUUGAGUGAUUACUCAUCCCACAGAUUUGACAUGGUCCUUUACUUCCAAUUGGCCUGUCUCCUCUGCCCCUGCUUCUUCUUCCUCUGUUAUUAGAGCUUCUUCCACCAUAGUUAAAUCUUCAUCCUCUGUUUGUGUUGGAUUUCUGCAUAAAAUUUGCUGAGGCUUGACUUAAGUUAACUAAGGUUAGGCUGCUUUUCACAACAUUUAGAUGUUCAGUCCUGCUUUCAUAGGUCAUUAGUAUGGAUUGCAAUUCAUGCCAAGAGAUGGACUCCCUACUGUUGAUUUAAACUAUAAUAGGGCUGUAUUCUUCAUCCAAUUCGGGCAGCACUUGGGUAACAAGGUCAGCAUGAGGAAUGCUUUUUCCAGCUAUUUCAAGGUUGUCUGCUAGCUGCUUAAUUGUGUUGAGCUAUUUAUCAAUACUCAUUGAACCUUUCCUUGUCCUUUUAAGUUCACUGAUAAGGAAGUUUAUCCUUGAUUUAUUCAUAACUCCAAAACUUUCUUGGAUUGCAUUCCAAAGAUUGCAGGAGCUUGAAGAUCCCAUCACUCUCAUUGCUAUAUCAGGUGUCAUAGAUGAAUACAGCCAACCCAUCAGUAGUUGAUCAGUAGACAUCCAUUUUAUAUAUUCAAAAUUUGGAGUCAUCUCCACGGUGACACCAGCAACACCAGUGGUUUGAGUUGCCAAAACCUCUGCUGGACAAGCUUUUGUCCCUGUAAUGAAACCUUCAAGAUUGUGACCUCUAAUGAUUGGCAUGACCAUGUUCUUCCAAAGUAAAAAGUUGUUCCUAUCAAGUUUAACUGGUGGAACUUGGGUGAGGCUUAUCCCAAGUGAUGGCAGCUGAUUUCCUCCCAGUACUGAAGACACCAGUGUGGUUGAAGUUGGCUGACCCGAUUGAGCAUUGUCAUUGGAUCCGGUGUUAGCCAUUAAUGGCUUUGAUACCAAGAUAAAAUUAAUAAGAAAACUGGAGAUGCAGUAAUUGAAAUGAAAAUCAGAUAAUUGUUAUUUUCUUGAAUUCAGUAUAUUAUCAAUACACAAAGAUCAGUGUAUAUAUACAAGUUCUUGGAGUAGUGAACAAGCAAAAAAAAUUUUAACCACAUGAUGUAACCAUAAGAAUCAAAACAGUUAUAACAACUCAUUGGUGGCCCCAAGGAUGCACGUUAGCAGCUAAU